AGCGAACGCUGGCGGCAGGCCUAACACAUGCAAGUCGAACGAAGUCCUCGGACUUAGUGGCGGACGGGUGAGUAACACGUGGGAACGUGCCUUUAGGUUCGGAAUAACUCAGGAAACUUGUGCUAAUACCGAAUGUGCCCUUCGGGGGAAAGAUUUAUCGCCUUUAGAGCGGCCCGCGUCUGAUUAGCUAGUUGGUGGGGUAAUGGCCCACCAAGGCUACGAUCAGUAGCUGGUCUGAGAGGAUGACCAGCCACAUUGGGACUGAGACACGGCCCAAACUCCUACGGGAGGCAGCAGUGGGGAAUCUUGCGCAAUGGGCGAAAGCCUGACGCAGCCAUGCCGCGUGGAUGAUGAAGGUCUUAGGAUUGUAAAAUCCUUUCACCGGUGAAGAUAAUGACUGUAGCCGGAGAAGAAGCCCCGGCUAACUUCGUGCCAGCCGCCGCCGUAAUAC
rnacentral:rRNA from 1 species